CAACUAGAUUGAAUAGCUACGGUUAGAAGCGAAAGCGACUAUCCGAGGAAAGUCCGAGCUCCAUAGAGCAAUAAUAACGGCUAACAGCCGCCGGGGGUGACCCUAGGGAUAGUGCAACAGAAAAUUACCGCCACUUAUGUGGUAAGGAUGGAAAGGCGAGGUAAGAGCUCACCGGUAAUAUGGAGACAUAUUAGCCGUGUAAACCCUAUUUGGAGCAACACCGUGGAGGGACAUAAUGCUUGCUCGGCAGUCCCGGGGAGGUGGCGUUGAGCAGUUGUGGUAACACACUGCCAAGAUAGAUGGCUAUUCACGACAGAACUCGGCUUAUAGAUUUGGUUGCUAA
rnacentral:RNase_P_RNA from 1 species